rnacentral:rRNA from 1 species
GGUUAAGCGACUAAGCGUACACGGUGGAUGCCCUGGCAGUCAGAGGCGAUGAAGGACGUGCUAAUCUGCGAUAAGCGUCGGUGAGGUGAUAUGAACCGUUAUAACCGGCGAUUUCCGAAUGGGGAAACCCAGUGUGUUUCGACACACUAUCAUUAACUGAAUCCAUAGGUUAAUGAGGCGAACCGGGGGAACUGAAACAUCUAAGUACCCCGAGGAAAAGAAAUCAACCGAGAUUCCCCCAGUAGCGGCGAGCGAACGGGGAGGAGCCCAGAGCCUGAAUCAGUGUGUGUGUUAGUGGAAGCGUCUGGAAAGGCGUGCGAUACAGGGUGACAGCCCCGUACACAAAAAUGCACAUAUUGUGAGCUCGAUGAGUAGGGCGGGACACGUGGUAUCCUGUCUGAAUAUGGGGGGACCAUCCUCCAAGGCUAAAUACUCCUGACUGACCGAUAGUGAACCAGUACCGUGAGGGAAAGGCGAAAAGAACCCCGGCGAGGGGAGUGAAAAAGAACCUGAAACCGUGUACGUACAAGCAGUGGGAGCCUCUUAAUGGGGUGACUGCGUACCUUUUGUAUAAUGGGUCAGCGACUUAUAUUCUGUAGCAAGGUUAACCGAAUAGGGGAGCCGAAGGGAAACCGAGUCUUAACUGGGCGUUAAGUUGCAGGGUAUAGACCCGAAACCCGGUGAUCUAGCCAUGGGCAGGUUGAAGGUUGGGUAACACUAACUGGAGGACCGAACCGACUAAUGUUGAAAAAUUAGCGGAUGACUUGUGGCUGGGGGUGAAAGGCCAAUCAAACCGGGAGAUAGCUGGUUCUCCCCGAAAGCUAUUUAGGUAGCGCCUCGUGAAUUCAUCUCCGGGGGUAGAGCACUGUUUCGGCAAGGGGGUCAUCCCGACUUACCAACCCGAUGCAAACUGCGAAUACCGGAGAAUGUUAUCACGGGAGACACACGGCGGGUGCUAACGUCCGUCGUGAAGAGGGAAACAACCCAGACCGCCAGCUAAGGUCCCAAAGUCAUGGUUAAGUGGGAAACGAUGUGGGAAGGCCCAGACAGCCAGGAUGUUGGCUUAGAAGCAGCCAUCAUUUAAAGAAAGCGUAAUAGCUCACUGGUCGAGUCGGCCUGCGCGGAAGAUGUAACGGGGCUAAACCAUGCACCGAAGCUGCGGCAGCGACGCUUAUGCGUUGUUGGGUAGGGGAGCGUUCUGUAAGCCUGUGAAGGUGUGCUGUGAGGCAUGCUGGAGGUAUCAGAAGUGCGAAUGCUGACAUAAGUAACGAUAAAGCGGGUGAAAAGCCCGCUCGCCGGAAGACCAAGGGUUCCUGUCCAACGUUAAUCGGGGCAGGGUGAGUCGACCCCUAAGGCGAGGCCGAAAGGCGUAGUCGAUGGGAAACAGGUUAAUAUUCCUGUACUUGGUGUUACUGCGAAGGGGGGACGGAGAAGGCUAUGUUGGCCGGGCGACGGUUGUCCCGGUUUAAGCGUGUAGGCUGAUUUUCCAGGCAAAUCCGGAAAAUCAAGGCUGAGGCGUGAUGACGAGGCACUACGGUGCUGAAGCAACAAAUGCCCUGCUUCCAGGAAAAGCCUCUAAGCAUCAGGUAACAUCAAAUCGUACCCCAAACCGACACAGGUGGUCAGGUAGAGAAUACCAAGGCGCUUGAGAGAACUCGGGUGAAGGAACUAGGCAAAAUGGUGCCGUAACUUCGGGAGAAGGCACGCUGAUAUGUAGGUGAAGCGACUUGCUCGUGGAGCUGAAAUCAGUCGAAGAUACCAGCUGGCUGCAACUGUUUAUUAAAAACACAGCACUGUGCAAACACGAAAGUGGACGUAUACGGUGUGACGCCUGCCCGGUGCCGGAAGGUUAAUUGAUGGGGUUAGCGGCAACGCGAAGCUCUUGAUCGAAGCCCCGGUAAACGGCGGCCGUAACUAUAACGGUCCUAAGGUAGCGAAAUUCCUUGUCGGGUAAGUUCCGACCUGCACGAAUGGCGUAAUGAUGGCCAGGCUGUCUCCACCCGAGACUCAGUGAAAUUGAACUCGCUGUGAAGAUGCAGUGUACCCGCGGCAAGACGGAAAGACCCCGUGAACCUUUACUAUAGCUUGACACUGAACAUUGAGCCUUGAUGUGUAGGAUAGGUGGGAGGCUUUGAAGUGUGGACGCCAGUCUGCAUGGAGCCGACCUUGAAAUACCACCCUUUAAUGUUUGAUGUUCUAACGUUGGCCCGUAAUCCGGGUUGCGGACAGUGUCUGGUGGGUAGUUUGACUGGGGCGGUCUCCUCCUAAAGAGUAACGGAGGAGCACGAAGGUUGGCUAAUCCUGGUCGGACAUCAGGAGGUUAGUGCAAUGGCAUAAGCCAGCUUGACUGCGAGCGUGACGGCGCGAGCAGGUGCGAAAGCAGGUCAUAGUGAUCCGGUGGUUCUGAAUGGAAGGGCCAUCGCUCAACGGAUAAAAGGUACUCCGGGGAUAACAGGCUGAUACCGCCCAAGAGUUCAUAUCGACGGCGGUGUUUGGCACCUCGAUGUCGGCUCAUCACAUCCUGGGGCUGAAGUAGGUCCCAAGGGUAUGGCUGUUCGCCAUUUAAAGUGGUACGCGAGCUGGGUUUAGAACGUCGUGAGACAGUUCGGUCCCUAUCUGCCGUGGGCGCUGGAGAACUGAGGGGGGCUGCUCCUAGUACGAGAGGACCGGAGUGGACGCAUCACUGGUGUUCGGGUUGUCAUGCCAAUGGCACUGCCCGGUAGCUAAAUGCGGAAGAGAUAAGUGCUGAAAGCAUCUAAGCACGAAACUUGCCCCGAGAUGAGUUCUCCCUGACUCCUUGAGAGUCCUGAAGGAACGUUGAAGACGACGACGUUGAUAGGCCGGGUGUGUAAGCGCAGCGAUGCGUUGAGCUAACCGGUACUAAUGAACCGUGAGGCUUAACCUU